rnacentral:rRNA from 1 species
GACGAACGCUGGCGGCGUGCUUAACACAUGCAAGUCGAACGGAAAGGCCUGCUUUCCCUUGUGGAUUGCGGGUACUCGAGUGGCGAACGGGUGAGUAACACGUGAGUGAUCUGCCCCCAACUUGGGUAUAAGCCUGGGAAACUGGGUCUAAUUCCCGAUAGGACUGCAGGGUGGUGCCUGUGGUUGAAAACGAUUUUCUAGUGGUUGGGGAUGAGCUCGCGGCCUAUCAGCUUGUUGGUGGGGUAAUGGCCUACCAAGGCGGCGACGGGUAGCCGGCCUGGGAGGCUGGACGGCCACAUUGGGACUGAGAUACGGCCCAGACUCCUACGGGAGGCAGCAGUGGGGAAUAUUGCACAAUGGGCGGAAGCCUGAUGCAGCGACGCCGCGUGGAGGAUGACGGCCUUCGGGUUGUAAACUCCUUUCGACCGCGAGGAAGCCACCUGGUUGGAAGGGUGGUGACGGUAGUGGUAGAAGAAGCACCGGCUAACUACGUG